rnacentral:rRNA from 1 species
GGGUUGUGAGGUUAAGCGACUAAGCGUACACGGUGGAUGCCCUGGCAGUCAGAGGCGAUGAAGGACGUGCUAAUCUGCGAUAAGCGUCGGUAAGGUGAUAUGAACCGUUAUAACCGGCGAUUUCCGAAUGGGGAAACCCAGUGUGUUUCGACACACUAUCAUUAACUGAAUCCAUAGGUUAAUGAGGCGAACCGGGGGAACUGAAACAUCUAAGUACCCCGAGGAAAAGAAAUCAACCGAGAUUCCCCCAGUAGCGGCGAGCGAACGGGGAGCAGCCCAGAGCCUGAAUCAGUGUGUGUGUUAGUGGAAGCGUCUGGAAAGGCGCGCGAUACAGGGUGACAGCCCCGUACACAAAAAUGCACAUGCUGUGAGCUCGAUGAGUAGGGCGGGACACGUGGUAUCCUGUCUGAAUAUGGGGGGACCAUCCUCCAAGGCUAAAUACUCCUGACUGACCGAUAGUGAACCAGUACCGUGAGGGAAAGGCGAAAAGAACCCCGGCGAGGGGAGUGAAAAAGAACCUGAAACCGUGUACGUACAAGCAGUGGGAGCACGCUUAGGCGUGUGACUGCGUACCUUUUGUAUAAUGGGUCAGCGACUUAUAUUCUGUAGCAAGGUUAACCGAAUAGGGGAGCCGAAGGGAAACCGAGUCUUAACUGGGCGUUAAGUUGCAGGGUAUAGACCCGAAACCCGGUGAUCUAGCCAUGGGCAGGUUGAAGGUUGGGUAACACUAACUGGAGGACCGAACCGACUAAUGUUGAAAAAUUAGCGGAUGACUUGUGGCUGGGGGUGAAAGGCCAAUCAAACCGGGAGAUAGCUGGUUCUCCCCGAAAGCUAUUUAGGUAGCGCCUCGUGAAUUCAUCUCCGGGGGUAGAGCACUGUUUCGGCAAGGGGGUCAUCCCGACUUACCAACCCGAUGCAAACUGCGAAUACCGGAGAAUGUUAUCACGGGAGACACACGGCGGGUGCUAACGUCCGUCGUGAAGAGGGAAACAACCCAGACCGCCAGCUAAGGUCCCAAAGUCAUGGUUAAGUGGGAAACGAUGUGGGAAGGCCCAGACAGCCAGGAUGUUGGCUUAGAAGCAGCCAUCAUUUAAAGAAAGCGUAAUAGCUCACUGGUCGAGUCGGCCUGCGCGGAAGAUGUAACGGGGCUAAACCAUGCACCGAAGCUGCGGCAGCGACGCUGAUGCGUUGUUGGGUAGGGGAGCGUUCUGUAAGCCUGCGAAGGUGUGCUGUGAGGCAUGCUGGAGGUAUCAGAAGUGCGAAUGCUGACAUAAGUAACGAUAAAGCGGGUGAAAAGCCCGCUCGCCGGAAGACCAAGGGUUCCUGUCCAACGUUAAUCGGGGCAGGGUGAGUCGACCCCUAAGGCGAGGCCGAAAGGCGUAGUCGAUGGGAAACAGGUUAAUAUUCCUGUACUUGGUGUUACUGCGAAGGGGGGACGGAGAAGGCUAUGUUGGCCGGGCGACGGUUGUCCCGGUUUAAGCGUGUAGGCUGGUUUUCCAGGCAAAUCCGGAAAAUCAAGGCUGAGGCGUGAUGACGAGGCACUACGGUGCUGAAGCAACAAAUGCCCUGCUUCCAGGAAAAGCCUCUAAGCAUCAGGUAACAUCAAAUCGUACCCCAAACCGACACAGGUGGUCAGGUAGAGAAUACCAAGGCGCUUGAGAGAACUCGGGUGAAGGAACUAGGCAAAAUGGUGCCGUAACUUCGGGAGAAGGCACGCUGAUAUGUAGGUGAGGUCCCUCGCGGAUGGAGCUGAAAUCAGUCGAAGAUACCAGCUGGCUGCAACUGUUUAUUAAAAACACAGCACUGUGCAAACACGAAAGUGGACGUAUACGGUGUGACGCCUGCCCGGUGCCGGAAGGUUAAUUGAUGGGGUUAGCGCAAGCGAAGCUCUUGAUCGAAGCCCCGGUAAACGGCGGCCGUAACUAUAACGGUCCUAAGGUAGCGAAAUUCCUUGUCGGGUAAGUUCCGACCUGCACGAAUGGCGUAAUGAUGGCCAGGCUGUCUCCACCCGAGACUCAGUGAAAUUGAACUCGCUGUGAAGAUGCAGUGUACCCGCGGCAAGACGGAAAGACCCCGUGAACCUUUACUAUAGCUUGACACUGAACAUUGAGCCUUGAUGUGUAGGAUAGGUGGGAGGCUUAGAAGUGUGGACGCCAGUCUGCAUGGAGCCGACCUUGAAAUACCACCCUUUAAUGUUUGAUGUUCUAACGUGGACCCGUAAUCCGGGUUGCGGACAGUGUCUGGUGGGUAGUUUGACUGGGGCGGUCUCCUCCUAAAGAGUAACGGAGGAGCACGAAGGUUGGCUAAUCCUGGUCGGACAUCAGGAGGUUAGUGCAAUGGCAUAAGCCAGCUUGACUGCGAGCGUGACGGCGCGAGCAGGUGCGAAAGCAGGUCAUAGUGAUCCGGUGGUUCUGAAUGGAAGGGCCAUCGCUCAACGGAUAAAAGGUACUCCGGGGAUAACAGGCUGAUACCGCCCAAGAGUUCAUAUCGACGGCGGUGUUUGGCACCUCGAUGUCGGCUCAUCACAUCCUGGGGCUGAAGUAGGUCCCAAGGGUAUGGCUGUUCGCCAUUUAAAGUGGUACGCGAGCUGGGUUUAGAACGUCGUGAGACAGUUCGGUCCCUAUCUGCCGUGGGCGCUGGAGAACUGAGGGGGGCUGCUCCUAGUACGAGAGGACCGGAGUGGACGCAUCACUGGUGUUCGGGUUGUCAUGCCAAUGGCACUGCCCGGUAGCUAAAUGCGGAAGAGAUAAGUGCUGAAAGCAUCUAAGCACGAAACUUGCCCCGAGAUGAGUUCUCCCUGACCCUUUAAGGGUCCUGAAGGAACGUUGAAGACGACGACGUUGAUAGGCCGGGUGUGUAAGCGCAGCGAUGCGUUGAGCUAACCGGUACUAAUGAACCGUGAGGCUUAACCUUACAACGCCGAAGGUGUUU